rnacentral:rRNA from 1 species
CGACUUAACUGAACCUUCGGGGAACGUUAAGGGCGUCGAGCGGCGGACGGGUGAGUAAUGCCUAGGAAAUUGCCCUGAUGUGGGGGAUAACCAUUGGAAACGAUGGCUAAUACCGCAUGAUGCCUACGGGCCAAAGAGGGGGACCUUCGGGCCUCUCGCGUCAGGAUAUGCCUAGGUGGGAUUAGCUAGUUGGUGAGGUAAUGGCUCACCAAGGCGACGAUCCCUAGCUGGUCUGAGAGGAUGAUCAGCCACACUGGAACUGAGACACGGUCCAGACUCCUACGGGAGGCAGCAGUGGGGAAUAUUGCACAAUGGGCGCAAGCCUGAUGCAGCCAUGCCGCGUGUGUGAAGAAGGCCUUCGGGUUGUAAAGCACUUUCAGUCGUGAGGAAGGUGGUGUAGUUAAUAGCUGCAUUAUUUGACGUUAGCGACAGAAGAAGCACCGGCUAACUCCGUGCCAGCAGCCGCGGUAAUACGGAGGGUGCGAGCGUUAAUCGGAAUUACUGGGCGUAAAGCGCAUGCAGGUGGUUUGUUAAGUCAGAUGUGAAAGCCCGGGGCUCAACCUCGGAAUAGCAUUUGAAACUGGCAGACUAGAGUACUGUAGAGGGGGGUAGAAUUUCAGGUGUAGCGGUGAAAUGCGUAGAGAUCUGAAGGAAUACCGGUGGCGAAGGCGGCCCCCUGGACAGAUACUGACACUCAGAUGCGAAAGCGUGGGGAGCAAACAGGAUUAGAUACCCUGGUAGUCCACGCCGUAAACGAUGUCUACUUGGAGGUUGUGGCCUUGAGCCGUGGCUUUCGGAGCUAACGCGUUAAGUAGACCGCCUGGGGAGUACGGUCGCAAGAUUAAAACUCAAAUGAAUUGACGGGGGCCCGCACAAGCGGUGGAGCAUGUGGUUUAAUUCGAUGCAACGCGAAGAACCUUACCUACUCUUGACAUCC